CCUACGGGGGGCUGCAGUGGGGAAUAUUGGACAAUGGGCGCAAGCCUGAUCCAGCAAUGCCGCGUGUGUGAAGAAGGCCUUAGGGUUGUAAAGCACUUUCAGCAAUGAAGAAGUUGUAUUGGCUAAUAUCCAAUAUAAUUGACGUUAGUUGCAGAAGAAGUACUGGCUAACUCUGUGCCAGCAGCCGCGGUAAUACAGAGAGUGCAUGCGUUAAUCGGAGGGAUUGGGGGUUAUUAAAGAGUAGAGAUUUGAAAUCCCUGGGCUUAACCUAGGAAUUGCAUUUAAUACUUUUUAUCUAGAGUAUUGUAGGGGGAAGUGGAAUUUCCGGUGUAGCGGUGAAAUGCGUAGAUAUCGGAAGGAACACCAGUGGCGAAGGCGACUUCCUGGACAAAUACUGACACUGAGACACGAAAGCGUGGGGAGCAAACAGGAUUAGAUACCCUGGUAGUC
rnacentral:rRNA from 1 species